rnacentral:rRNA from 1 species
CAGCCGCCGCGGGAAUACGUAGGUGGCAAGCGUUGUCCGGAAUUAUUGGGCGUAAAGCGCGCGCAGGUGGUUUAAUAAGUCUGAUGUGAAAGCCCACGGCUCAACCGUGGAGGGUCAUUGGAAACUGUUAAACUUGAGUGCAGGAGAGAAAAGUGGAAUUCCUAGUGUAGCGGUGAAAUGCGUAGAGAUUAGGAGGAACACCAGUGGCGAAGGCGGCUUUUUGGCCUGUAACUGACACUGAGGCGCGAAAGCGUGGGGAGCAAACAGGAUUAGAUACCCGUGUAGUCCCUGUCUCUUAUAC